rnacentral:rRNA from 1 species
AACGAACGCGGGCGUCAGGCUUAACACAUGCAAGUCGAGCGCCGCGCAAGGGGAGCGGCAGACGGGUGAGUAACGCGUGGGAAUCUACCCAUCUCUACGGAAUAACGCAUGGAGACGUUUGCUAAUACCGUAUACGUCCUUCGGUAGAAAGAUUUAUCGGAGAUGGAUGAGCAUGCAUUGGAUUAGCUAGUGGGUGGGGUACAGGCCUACCAAGGCGACGAACCAUAGCUGGUCUGAGAGGAUGAUCAGCCACACUGGGACUGAGACACGGACCAGACUCCUACGGGAGGCAGCAGUGGGGAAUAUUGGACAAUGGGCGCUAGCCUGUUCCAGCCAUGCCGCGUUAGUGAUGAAGGCCCUAGGGUUGUAAAGCUCAUUCACCGGUGAAGAUAAUGACGGUAACCGGAGAAGAAGCCCCGGCUAACUCCGUGCCAGCCGCCGCCGUAAAAC